GCCCGGUUAGCUCAAUCGGUAGAGCGUGAGACUCUUAAUCUCAAGGUUGCGGGUUCGGUAAGUUCACAAUUCG